CACGUAGGGUGCGAGCGUUGUCCGGAAUUAUUGGGCGUAAAGAGCUCGUAGGCGGUGUGUCGCGUCGGCCGUGAAAACCCGCGGCUCAACUGCGGGCCUGCAGCCGAUACGGGCAGGCUAGAGUUCGGUAGGGGAGACUGGAAUUCCUGGUGUAGCGGUGAAAUGCGCAGAUAUCAGGAGGAACACCGGUGGCGAAGGCGGGUCUCUGGGCCGAUACUGACGCUGAGGAGCGAAAGCGUGGGGAGCGAACAGG
rnacentral:rRNA from 1 species